GACAGAGGCCCCAAGCGUUAGGCGGAAUCACUGGGCUUAAAGCGUGUGUAGGCGGAUCGUUAAGUGUCUUGUGAAAUCCCACGGCUCACCCGUGGAACUGCUGGGCAUACUGGCGAUCUUGGGCCAACUAGGGGCAGUCGGAACAAGCGGUGGAGCGGUGAAAUGCGUAGAUAUCUGGAGGAACACCGGUGGCGAAGGCGGCAUCCUGGACCGGUAUUGACGCUGAGGCGCGAAAGCUAGGGGAGCAAACGGG
rnacentral:rRNA from 1 species